CUACGGGCGGCACCAGUGGGGAAUAUUGCACAAUGGGCGCAAGCCUGAUGCAGCCAUGCCGCGUGUAUGAAGAAGGCCUUCGGGUUGUAGAGUACUUUCAGCGGGGAGGAAGGGAGUAAAGUUAAUACCUUUGCUCAUUGACGUUACCCGCAGAAGAAGCACCGGCUAACUCCGUGCCAGCAGCCGCGGUAAUACGGAGGGUGCAAGCGUUAAUCGGAAUUACUGGGCGUAAAGCGCACGCAGGCGGUUUGUUAAGUCAGAUGUGAAAUCCCCGGGCUCAACCUGGGAACUGCAUCUGAUACUGGCAAGCUUGAGUCUCGUAGAGGGGGGUAGAAUUCCAGGUGUAGCGGGGAAAUGCGUAGAGAUCUGGAGGAAUACCGGUGGCGAAGGCGGCCCCCUGGACGAAGACUGACGCUCAGGUGCGAAAGCGUGGGGAGCAAACAGGAUUAGAUACCCCCGUAGUC
rnacentral:rRNA from 1 species